GACGGGGGGUCCUAGCGUUGUUCGGAAUCAUUGGGCGUAAAGCGUGUGCAGGUGGUUUGGUAAGUUGGAUGUGAAAGCCCCGGGCUUAACUCGGGAAGUGCAUUCAAAACUACCAAACUUGAGUAUGGAAGAGGUUCGUGGAAUUCCUGGUGUAGUGGUGAAAUACGUAGAUAUUGGGAGGAACACCAGUGGCGAAGGCGGCUCACUGGACCGGUACUGGCGCUGAAGCGCGAAAGCGUGGGGAGCAAACGGG
rnacentral:rRNA from 1 species